GCUGCCGGCUCCAAGCGGAGCGCGCCGAGCAUAGGGAGCGAGCGGUGUGGGGGGGAUCCCGCGGCGGAGGGGCUCGCGCGGCGUCUUCGCUCCCCCUCCCCUCAGCCCUCGGGCCGCGCGGCCCGCGCAGCUCUGGGAAGAUGGCGCUGCACUUUCAGAGUUUGGCUGAGUUGGAAGCUCUGUGUACUCAUCUCUACGUAGGGACCGAUCUCAAUGAAAGAAUAGAGGCUGAGAAAGCACUCUUGGAACUGAUUGACAGCCCAGAAUGUCUCAGCAAGUGUCAACUUUUAUUAGAACAAGGAACAACAUCCUAUGCUCAGCUCCUUGCAGCAACAUGUCUUUCAAAACUUGUUACCCGAAUCAAUCCUUUACCUGUUGAACAGAGGAUAGACAUCAGAAACUACAUUCUGAAUUAUGUGGCAUCCCAACCUAAGCUGGCUCCCUUCGUCAUUCAAGCUCUUAUUCAAGUCAUUGCUAAACUCACUAAGUUGGGGUGGUUUGAAGUUCAGAAAGACGAGUUUGUUUUCAGAGAAAUCAUUGCUGAUGUGAAGAAAUUCCUCCAGGGCACAGUGGAGCACUGCAUAAUAGGGGUGAUAAUCCUUUCCGAACUGACACAGGAAAUGAACCUGGUUGAUUAUUCCAGACCUUCAGCAAAACAUAGGAAAGUAGCUACCUCAUUUCGUGAUACGUCUCUAAAAGACAUUCUAGUGUUAGCCUGUUCUCUCCUGAAACAGGUGUUGGCCAAACCUUUAAAUCUUCAGGAUCAAGAUCAACAAAGCCUGGUGAUGCAAGUCUUAAAGCUGGUCCUCAGCUGCCUGAGCUUUGACUUCCUGGGCAGUUCAGCAGAUGAGUCUGCGGACGAUCUUUGCACAGUGCAGAUUCCAACAACCUGGAGAACAAUUUUCCUGGAGCCAGAAACGUUGGAUCUUUUCUUCAAUUCGUAUCACUCGCUUCCACCUCUGCUGUCUCAGUUAGCACUGUCAUGCUUAGUUCAGUUUGCUUCUACAAGAAGAUCCUUAUUUAGCAGUCCUGAACGUGCCAAGUACCUUGGUAACUUAAUUAAAGGAGUAAAAAGGAUACUUGAAAACCCCCAGGGUUUGUCUGAUCCUGGUAAUUAUCAUGAAUUUUGUCGAUUUUUGGCUCGUUUAAAGACAAACUAUCAGCUAGGAGAAUUAGUUUUGGUGAAGGAGUAUGCGGAAGUUAUCGGAUUGAUUGCUAAUUUUACAAUUACUAGCCUUCAGCAUUGGGAGUUUGCCCCCAACAGUGUUCAUUACUUACUAACUCUGUGGCAGAGGAUGGUAGCGUCCGUUCCCUUUGUGAAGUCAGCUGAACCCCACUUGUUAGACACUUAUGCACCUGAAAUCACAAAGGCCUUCAUCACGUCCCGACUGGAAUCUGUUGCCAUUGUUGUAAGAGAUAAUUUAGAAGACCCCCUGGAUGACACUGCUACCGUGUUCCAGCAGCUGGAGCAGCUGUGUACAGUCAGCAGAUGUGAAUAUGAAAAGACGUGUACUCUUCUUGUUCAGCUAUUUGACCAAAAUGCACAGAACUAUCAAAAGCUUCUGCAUUCUGCUUCAGGGCUAGCUAUUGACAUGGCUAUUCAAGAAGGUCGUCUUGCAUGGCUGAUAUACUUAGUUGGCACAGUUGUAGGAGGGAGAUUGACGUACACCAGCACCGAUGAGCAUGACGCUAUGGACGGAGAAUUAUCAUGCCGUGUUUUUCAGCUCAUAUCUUUAAUGGAUACCAGAUUGCCUCGCCGCACCAACGAGAAAAUAGAACUUGCAGUUCUCUGGUUCUUGGAUCAGUUUCGUAAAACAUAUGUUGGCGAUCAGCUUCAGAGAACCUCAAAGAAGACUGGCAUCUUCCUGUGAAGGGCUUGUGGCAAACCUAUCCAACUGGGGUUCUUCCUCCCUGAGAAGGAUCUGACCCAUCAUCACCUGAAGCAGGGAUCACAGUCUAAGGGUCCAGAGAAAACAUGUCUACAUUACAUGAAGAUGAAGAAGGUUUGACAUGAUUUCAGACCAAAGGGAUGGCAAAUAUCUAUAAAGAGAAGAGAAACACCUGUCAAUAUCUAGCUUAAUGCUUUUUUAAUAAGUAUAUGUAUGAAAAGAAAAACAGCUGCCGUUCAAGAGAAGCGAAAGCUAUUGGCUCAUUAACGUCUUAAGAUGUGGUACAGCAUAGACCGGUUCCUGUUACUUUACAAUCUAGGAAGGUGUAUGGGCUUCGUUCCUUUCCGUGGUGAGAGGACCUCUCUCCGCAUCCUCAGGUAGAGUCUUAAUAAUGACAUUGAGGGUAUGACAAACAGUAGCACCCCACCCACUGCUUUCACUUAGCAGACUGGCUCUAAUUGUAUUUAAAUCUAAAAUAAAUGAAAACAAAGGCUUUAGAAAUAAACAGUAUCCAAAUCUAGUCCUUCUGGAAGAAAGCAGAUAACCUUGAUGAGAACAUCAGCCUAAAUCCAUUUCAUUUCUAAAUUAGAAUACAGUAAAGUUAACUUUUUCUCUUUGGAGUUACCUGUUUCCAGAAGUAGUCAUCAAAGCCAUGCCCUGCUUUGUGUCUUCUCUCCCCAUAGCAACCACUGAUAGUCCUCACUGCUGUCCUUGGGCCUUUUCUAGAAUGUAAGUAACGUAAGUGUGAUUGUCCAUGAUUUGACCGGUCUUUCCCUCUUCAGAUUCAAUUUAGCAACAUUAGUAUCAGUUUUUAGUUAAUAUGAAUGUUCUGUCCUAUGUGGACCUUAGUGUGUCUGACAGAGAGGAUUAUAUUAGAACUUGAGUUUUUUUACCAUUAUUUACUGCACACUGUUUCACUUUCUCCUCGAAAUGGGGUCUCCCUGUGUUGCCCAGGCUACAGUUAAUUCUCCCACCUUCUCCUCUUGCCUUCUCCCGACUUCUCCUCCCGCCUUGCAGGAAUCACAGACAAAUUCCACUGCUCUGGCAGUUGUACCUUUAGUAACUGAAUUGCAGUUGUAUAUACAACCAUAUUUUGUUUGACCUGCCUGUCGGGAACAAUGUGACUGCUACUUUCAGCAGUAACCAUGUUUGUGUAAACCUGUUCUGCAUCUAGUAUCUGGCCUGUAUAUUCCUGGAAAUGAAUUUAGUGGGUGAAAGAUACACACAAAAGUGUGUGGAUGACAAUUCACCUUACAAAAGGCAGGAAUCAGUUUUGACUUCAUUUUAUUACCUUGCCUUCAGAAUCCUUUUAUCUUGGCAAAUCUAGGCAUUGAGUUUUUUUUUAUUUUAAUUUACAUUACGUUAAAUAUUAUGCUGUUUGCAUUAAAUCUGCUAAGUCACUUCUAAUGUGAUCUGUAUUUCAACACUGACUUAUUUUUAUAAAUCCUAGACCCUUAUUAGUUUGUUUUGUAGAAGUUAGGUCUGGUUCUUCCUUCCAGCCCCAUGAUCCCAGAAAUAAGACUUAGACUCAAAAUCUAUUUACAAAUACCUUGACCAUAUUUUAGGCUUAUUAGAUAUUAACUAAAGUAACCCAUUUGUUUUAACCUACAUUCUGCCAUGCAGCUGCUUACCUGUACUCAGGUGCUCUGCUCUGCUCUGGUCAUGAAUUUCCCACCUGGCACUCUCCCAGAUUCUUUUUGCCUCCAGGAUAUCCCACCCUCUUACUUCCUGCCUAAGCUGUAGGCCAUCAGCUUUAUUAUUGACAGGUGCCAUAUCCAAACAAACAUAAGAUAAUCUCUCUACAGUGCUUGUUAGAAUUAGUGUGAGAGUGAACUUUUUGUUUUGUUUUCUUUUGUUUCCAUUCAAUAGAGUUGUUAAGUCUCAUAGUUUUAAUGAUAUCUUUUUAAUGACUAUCUUUUGAUAUACUUAGUUCUUCCCAAGAAUGUGCUGGGCAACUAUCAAUUCAAAUCUCUUACCUGUUUCUAGUUAGGUCAUUUAGGUCUUACAACAAUUAGUGUAAUUUUAUAUGCAAAUUGUGUCUCUCAUGGACAGCUUACAAAUGCUUUUUUUUCAUAUAUUGCUUGUCUUUGAAGCGUCACAAAAGCACUAACAGUUGUUCAUUCAGAUGCAGUUAUUUUACUAGCUUUUGAUUUAUGCUUUAUACUUUUUCUAUCAAGUGCAAGAAAUCUUGUUCCCUUGUCCUAAGUCACAUACAUUUUUUCCUGAAGUUAAAUAAUUUCUACAUUUCUUUUGGAGCAUUCACUUUCCAUAAUUUUUUAAUUUGCAUUUGACUAUUGUAACUGUUUCAGUUUAGUCUACCCUCAUUUAUUUCAUGUUUGAUCUCCCUAGAUGUAAUUUUCUUCAGACUUAUCUUUUCAACACUGCUCUAGCCAAGAUUGUGUAUAAUAACUUUUGAAAUUUUAUCAGCCUACUUUCAAAUAUUUUUUGCUAAGUAAAGUAUAAUAAGGUCUGUGUCUUUUCUCAACUUUGCAUUUCAGUUACAUUGUACAUUCCAAAGGUAGAGAAUGUUGAAUUUUUCUUGUAAAUUUUAUACAUUCAAACUUCCUUAUAUACUCUGCGCCUUAAGCCAUUGUACGAAUUCACAGACCUUUCAAGAUUUAAAACCCUCUACAUGACUUAGCCAGACAAAGUUAGUGGGGUUUACCAUUGUACGCUCUUUUGUCUUUUAGUGGUAAGUCCCUUCUUUUAGUAUUUCAAGUUAAUCUUAAUAAUUAGGCUUAGGUCUGCCAUUUGUUGUUUUCUAUGCAUUUGCGUUUUUCAGUGCUGAGCUUCUCUCAUGCUACCUUCUUGUUGGAUAGAUUUUUCUAGUGUCAAUUUUUAUUGUCUGUUUAAUUCCUUUUAUAUAAUUUUAAAAUCAAUUUUGUUAAUAGCUACCAAUGAGAUUAACAGCUAGCAUCUGGAAUUUAUAACAAUCUAAUUUGAAUUGAUACCAAGUGCAUGUCUGUGGCAUCUACUUAUUCCUACCCUACCCCCACCCUUGGUUGUUGUUGUUGUUAUUGUUGUUGUUGUUUUGGAUUAUGUCAGUCUGCGUGUGCUCUUAGUGACGUUCUGCACAUAGUCUUGUUUCAGUGCAUGCUCUGCUUCUCUGUGUGUUUGGAUGCAGUGCUCCCUCUUUCACUGCAUCUUUAAGGAUUUCCAUUCGUCCGACUCUAGGUCACGUCCACACAUGGCUGGCUCCCCGCAUGCGCGGCUUUCAUUGCCAUGGCUUGUACGGUUAUUUCUACCAUCGAUAAACCGUGGGAGGUCAGACUUUUCACCCUCAGUUUUGAUGGGAAGCUUGUUUUCUGUGUCCAUCUUUCCUUUCUGCAUUUUUAGUGGAUGAUUCUGCAGUGUUCUCACCACGGUCCUUCUGAGAAGUCUGCAGUCAGUCUUGUAAGAGGUCUCUCUACGCGGUCAGUCACUCAUCUCUUGCUACUUUGAAGCUUUCUGUUUUGAAGGUCUCACUGUGUUCCUAUUGCAGCCUUUCCUAUGUUUUCACUCACACAGAUCAACAUAUCUUGCUAGUAGAAUCUAGGAUUCAUGUAUUGAGAGAAAGCAUUCCGGAAGUGUUUCUCUCUCUGAGCCCUGCUUCCCUCACUUAAUGUAAUGCUUUCCAGGGCCAUCCAUUUUCUUGCAAAUAUGUAUGUAAUUUCAGUUUUUGUUAUUGCUGAGUACACUUCCAUUGUGUAUAUGUAUACAUUUUCAUUGUCCCUUUACCUUUUGGUGGCCAUCUGUUUGCACUGGUCCACUUUCCUACUUCCCGUGGAAAUCUCGGCAAUCAGCGUAGAUGUGCUACCAACUCUGUAGUAGCCUGUUGCUGUGGGCAUCUGCCUAGUACUGGUAUAGCUGAGUCAUAUAGUAAUCGUAUUUUUCGUUUUUCUCAGAAGCCUCCCCAGCAGUUUCCAUGCAGGCUGCACCACCAGCAGGGUAUCAGUUCCUCACUCUCCUGACCCAUUUGUGGUCGUUCUUAUAACUGAGUGGUAGUUGUUCUGACCUGACUCAGCCAAUCUCAAUAUAGCUGUAAUUUGCAUUUUUCUGAUAGUUAGGGAUGUUAAAUACUAAAAAAAUAUUUAUUGGUUAUUUGCAUUAUAAUAAACAUGCAGAGAGUAUGGGGGGGAGCUCACGAACACAUGCACACAUGUCUGGAGUAUAGCUAGCAAAGAUUUUCACCCAUUCUGACUGACACUCUGUUGAUAAUUUCAUUUGCUGUCCAGAAGCUUUUUGAUGUCUUAUAAUCAUGUUUGUCAAUUGAUGGGGCUGUUUCCUGUGCUAUUGGUGUUGUAUUGAGAAAUUUAUCUAUGUCUAUAUCCUGAAGGCUUUUCCAUUAAUAGUUUCAGUGUUUCUGGUUUUACAUUAAGGUUUUUGAUCCAAUUUGAGUUGUUUGUACAGAGUGAGAGAUAAGGACCUAAUUUCAUUCUUUUGCGGAUGGACAUCCAGUUUUACCCACACUCUUUAAGUUUAUCAUGUUUUCGAUCAUGGUUUUGCCACUUUUAUUAAAGAUUAGGUUUCCUUUGCUGUCUGGGUUUAUCUUUGAGUUGUUUCACUGGUCUGUGGGUCUAUUGCUUGUGCCAGGAUUAUGUUUUCUGUGUCCCUAUUGUUCUACAAUGUAGUUUGAGGUCAGAUAGUAAGAUGUUCCUGACAGUUUUCUUUCUGCUUAAAAUUGCUUUGGGUAUCUGUUUUUGUUUGUUUUUUUUUUUCGUGUGUGUGUGUGUGUGUGUGUGUGUGUGUGUUUCCAAUGAAUGUUAGGAUUUUUUUUCUAGUUGUGUGUAGAAUAUCCUUAGAAUUUUUAGUGGGGAUGUCCUUGAAUCAGUAGAGUGCUUUUGAUAAUUCAGUCUUCACAAUAUUGAUUAUACUGGUCCAGGAACAUAGAUGCUCUUUCUGUUGUCCAGUGUCUGAUUUCACUUUUCAGUGUCUUACAUUUUAUUUAUAGAGGUCUUUUGCUUCUUCCUUAGCUAAGUUACUGUUGGGCAGAGUCUGGAAGGAAUGCUAACAUAAAUGUAUAAAAAUAUAUUCAAUGAAAAAAACAUAAAAUCCAUUGUGAAGCCCCAUAGCUUCGGAAUGGUUGUCCCAACUGUAUAGAAGGUAAUUCAGAUUAUAGACUUUGGAUCUGGCUAAUUUUGAUGUGUGAUGUUUUAAAUUUGCAAGUUUUUUAAUAAUAAAAUUGAUUUUAAAAAUUUUACUCAUUAAAAAACAUAAGUACAUGUUAAACAUAGAGGAAAACCAAGUAGAUAAAGCUAAGACUUUAUUAAAUUACAUAUUUAAGCCUUAGUGGUCAUAGUGAAAACACAGAAACUUCAUAAUCAAAAGGGAAACUUAUUGUAGUGUCUGCAUAACUAAUGGGGCACAGUUUAUGCAGUGUGCUAUUUUAAUGUGGCCAGGCUCUUUAGAGCUCGCUUGAUCGUCAGGUGAAUUACCCUGCAGAAAUCAUUUGGAUAUAGCAAAGUGAGGUGAAGAUUUGCUUAUGAGUCGGUGAGACUGAGGUGAGCAAGACCAGGCUGUUCCUUUUGUCUCUGGUGCAUUAAUGUCUGGUGUCUGCACCUAAUGGCCUCUGUGUCUCUUUGUUGUCGUUUUGUCUGUUUCAUUUGGGUUUUGCCACCAACCCCUUUGGUGCCUUUGGUGCUUCAGAUUGGGCAUAAGGCCUCAGCCAUCCAUGCAAGCAGUCUGUCCGUUAGUGAAAUCUCAGCCUUUGAUCUUUAAGUGCUGACUAAAGUUUCUUUAAAGUUCUAGAAGACUCUUUAGAAUUUAGCUAUUAAUAUAUCUGUACAGGGCCAAAUUUUUUACAUUAACCCAAAUUUUGAUUGUUUUUUUUUUAUUUAUAAAAGAUUGAUUCAACCUUGUGUUUUUCUUCUCUGCUUCCAUGAUUGCUUCAUGUGGACGCGUCAUGAAGAGGAGUUACUUCAGGGUCACCUUUUGUUUGACUGCCUGCUCCAUCUGGCACUCUGGGGCUGAGCUCUAUGCUUUAGAUAAUAAUAAAGGAAACUGACAGGAACCCAGGAACUCCUUAUAACUGAAAACAAGUGUGCAGAUGUGACGGAACAGACAGGAUGCUGUGUAGAACAGUACACUUUAUUCUGAUUGGGUCAAGGAUGACAGCAAGUUUGUCACUUAAACUUUGAGAAGCCAAAGAGGAAAAUGAACAUUGCAGCUAUAAUAUGAAGCAGUAUUUUAAAAAAAAAAAUCAUGUUGCCUGUGUUCAGAAAAAGAGAUGACUGUGGGUUGAUCUGUCACACACUAUUGAUGAAGAACCUUCACAAAGGAACUUCAAACUCCAACAUGGGACAGUGUUAUUAUCAAGACUACCCAGUGACAAAAGGAAACCCUGACCCCUUAGUAGGGGGUCAGUCUUGAUGAAAGAUACCUUUGAAGGCCAAGCACACCAUCAUUAAUUUAAAACAAAAUCAGCCAGAACUCAAAUGGACCAAGCCGAGGAAAUGCUACUUGUUCGGGGAAACAAAAGGACAAAAGCUCAGUAGGCGUGGUCUUACCUGUUGUGGAGUAAGCUUGGCCCAGGUCUUGCAAUCUAAAUUUUCCAGUUUUAGAAGAAGGCAAUUGAUCACUCUAUGAUUUCUAUGUCACUGUAUCCAGUUGUCCUUCCUCCUGAAUACUUAAAAAGAAACUUCUAGCAGAGAGGAUGUCCCCUCCCCAGAAAUACUUUUGUUUCUGUCUAUAAUAUGAUUAAAUAUGGCAUUGAAACAUU